rnacentral:rRNA from 1 species
ACGUCAUACAAUGGCCGGUACAGAGGGUAGCAACCCGCGAGGGGGGAGCCAAUACCCACAAAGCCGGUCGUAGUCCGGAUCGCAGUCUGCAACUCGACUGCGUGAAGUCGGAAUCGCUAGUAAUCGCGGAUCAGCAUGUCGCGGUGAAUACGUUCCCGGGUCUU